AUUAAAUAUCAAGAUUAAAAUUCAUUUUAGUAUAGAUUUUAUUGCGAUAGGCAUGUGAGCAGGAGCCUAUAUAACAUCGCCAUGCGACAAAUCAGAAUUCAAUUUCUAAGUGGCCACCAACGCCUUCAAAAUGAAGUGUUUAUCAUUGAUUAUUUUGCUUUUCGUUGGAGUUUUUCUUGUAAAAUCUACUCCAAUUGGUAAUCCAUUACCAAGACCUGUACCAGCACCACUGCCAAAAGCAACACCAGGUCCCUCUCCCAAUGCAAACCCAAAUGCAAGUCCUCAGUUUUAUUAUCCAUCAGCAUACGCCUAUUCGGGAUAUUAUGCUCCUUCGUAUUCUUAUGGAUGGGGAACGUAUCCUUAUUCGUACGGAUAUUAUGGAGCGUAUCCUGGGUCUUAUUUCUAUUAUUAAAACAAAUGUUGAGAAACUUUAAAUAAAGUGAUCCAUAAUAAUUUAUCGAAAAUACGCUUUGGUGUAAUCUGAUUGCGCAAUAUUAUUAAAUGUAGCAAAGUUAAUAAAAUAUAUGCUCCUCACAA